GCCUGGAGUUAAAUAGCAAUGGCCGGUCAGGAUAGCAGUGGCCUGUGGUGUCUCUGUGUUAGCUGUUAGCAGUGGCCUGUGAUGUCUUUGUGUUAGCUGUUAGCAGUGGCCUGUGGUGUCUCUGUGUUAGCUGUUAGCAGUGGCCUGUGGUGUCUCUGUGUUAGCUGUUAGCAGUGGCCUGUGGUGUCUCUGUGUUAGCUGUUAGCAUUGGCCUGUUGGUGAGGAAAAGCUACACAGCGGUCCAACCAGCAGGUGGCUGACAGGUCUACCUCCACACUUCAUCACAGCAGGGGAAGGCAAGCCUCUCAUCGUGGCAGAGCCCCUCCUGGACUGGAUAUCCAAUACAAGACCCCUCCAAUCAGGCUCUGUGGGAGACCCUUUAGACCAGGCCGUUCAGAAUCCAAAUCCUCUUUAAUCUUUAAGUGCGUCACCGUGAACCCACAUUGUUACUCUAUGUAACAGUGGAGCUAGUGGUAGACAGCAUGUAGGGACAGAAUACACACCAUCAACAGGAAGUUGACAUAC